rnacentral:rRNA from 1 species
UACAGAGGUCCCAAGCGUUGUUCGGAUUCAUUGGGCGUAAAGGGUGCGUAGGCGGCGCGGUAAGUCGGGUGUGAAAUCUCGGAGCUUAACUCCGAAACUGCAUUCGAUACUGCCGUGCUUGAGGACUGGAGAGGAGACUGGAAUUUACGGUGUAGCGGUGAAAUGCGUAGAUAUCGUAAGGAACACCGGUGGCGAAGGCGGCAUUCUGGACCGACAUUGACGCUGAGGAGCGAAAGCCAGGGGAGCAAACGGG